rnacentral:lncRNA from 1 species
CUCCACCCGCAGGAGGCGGUGGCCCCGCGGCUUAAAAGGGCAACAGCGACGCCGCCCCCACCGCCGCCUGGGAGAGGGCUGCCCCCGCCCCGGCGCGCGCCCGCGAGCUCCGCGCGCGCUCCCGACCGCCCCCUCCUCUCAUGACCCAGCCCCUUUCCGCCCCACACCGGGGCUCCGCGCCCAGCACCCGCCGCUCGCCCCGAGGAUUUGGGCCGGCGGCACCGCACGAGGAUGAACCUGAGCUCCCCUGCGCGCCUCUGCGCUGCACCGGGGCCUCUGGCCAGACACGUGCGCGGCCUAUCGCGCCGGCCACGUCGGCUCGGGUAGGAAACGCGCGGGCCCCUGGAGGUUGCUCCUCCGCGUGGUUGUCCACCGGCCACCCACUCACCUGGCCUGGGCGCGGCCGGGAUGGGGAGAUGAGAGGUGUGCGCCUAGCACCUUCACGUAUGUUGCUCUCGCUCCGCGCUGAACCACCCACCACUUUUCUAAGUGUGACUCCCGAAAGGUCCUUCUCUCCAGACUUGUACUCCCUCCUUCGCUCCCAUUUGCCGAAGACGAUGAUAGAGCCUGCCAGCUUCUUCCCAUCAUCAUUUCAAUCUUUCACGUAAACAUUUAUGUGCUCGCGCUAAUGUGGAUACUCUGCGUCCUGAGUUUCUGCUGGACUUCCCAGAAUGGACCAUGUUUGUUGAAGUCACAUCUCAAAUGUGUCAGACUGAUCCUUCCUGACCAACUAAGCUAAAGUAACCAUGUAGAUACCAUGUAUCCCUUUCCUAGGUUAACUUAUUGCUUCUUUCUGUUGUCUCUGCUUAACACUGAAAUCUCAUUCAGAGAAGCACCCCUAGGAUUGAGGGGAGGAAAAGCCUAAUGACACCUGUGUCAUUUAAUAAAUUCUUGCUCUUACCUG